CGGUCACCUGCACAGUCUUGCGCAUCCACGCGUAGGGGCUGUGGCGGCUCCUGCUGGGAGAACUGGCACCAGCGGUGCCUGAGUCGAUGGAGACCAAUGACUCACUGGCCGGGGCUGGCAGGCUACCGCCGUUGCUUGCGCCGCUGGUGGGGCCCAGGUUGCUGUAGUCUGGCGAGCCGAAAGCCGUAGAGCUUGAGGUCAUGUCGUUCAUGGGCACUGUGCCCAUUGUACUGGACGGCCCAGGAGUAAAGCAAUAUGAUGGAAUGAAGAACUCCCAUUAUCGAAUAGGAAGCACAUGAAGAUACAAGGCCCCAAACAAACCCUCCUUCAGAUUUACGUUCUGACCCUUCAUCCUUCCCAACUGGUCCCAGGAUCUGGUGAAAGCGGUGAGAACUUCCAUUCACUGGAGUGGAAAGAAGAGAAGAACAACUAUUUAUUAAGUAGCGGGUGCUAAACUGGGUAUGAAUAAAGCAUCUGACCUUAUUAAACUUGGGUUCUAAUUUUAAAUAUUA